CUUUCUUUAGCCGUGGUUGCC
rnacentral:piRNA from 1 species